CCUUCCUCCCUUCUUCCUUCCUUCCUAUUUGUACUUGAUUUCCUUGUUAUAAUUAUAUAUUUCUCUGACAUAGAAGAAAACUCAUAAUGCUCAGUUACUAAAAAGUAGACCUAGACAAAGUAAUAUUAUCACUGAAAUCAAAUGAUAAUCUACAUUAAUGUUUUUCAUUAAUAGAAGUACUCUCUUCAUGAAAGAGAAUAUCUCAUAUACUAUCUUAAAAUCUACUAAUAUAUCUUUUAUUUUACUAGUCAUAAAUAUAUAUAUCAAAAACCUAUCAUUCACAGAACAUAAAACAUAUAGUAAGGUAACACGUUUCUUUAUAUCUAAUUCUCUAUCUCUAUAGAUCUAUUUUUUAUAUACAGAGUGAGAAAGAGAUUAAGAUUUGAGAUUUGAUUUAAAGUAUUUACUUCCUGGUGCAUCUUCUACUUCCAGAUAGAAUGUAGAGAAAUGGAAAACAUUUUUACUACCAUGGUAACAUCCUAAACAAAUAAAUAAAUCACAAUAUUCUGUGUGGUUAGGGAAGCAUGGUGGAUGCUAAAAUGGCUUGAAGAACCAAAUUCCGGACAACAGCAGGCACUUAAUAGAAUCUGAAAAAGAAAGUAUAACUGGAUUCAUUAUAUGGAUAAAGAAAAAGAAGUUCAUAGAUGUGAAGUAGCUUGACUGGGGAUCACACCCCAAGAGAGUACUAACAACUUUUGAUUGCUGAUAGCCUGGGAAGAAUUCAAACCACUAAUCCAUUGUCUAAAACCAAAGGCUUGCAAUGGUUAUGGAAUAAGCUAUAUUGAAAUUGAUUACAAAUCAUGACAGUGUUAAUUGCCAUAAAGUCUCUGUUAAACUGGACACACAUCUCUGCAGCAUUCUGAAGAUUAUAAAGUCCUUUAAUUGGUGGGAAAAACAUGAAGAAAACAAUCUAUAAGCAAGGCAGAAGACCAACACCAGCAGCUCUCAAUAAUAAGUGCUAAAUUAAGUAAAGAUGACGGAAAUUCUUAAUACAUUCAGAUGGUUAAAUAUCUGGAAGUAAUCCAAGUAAGCUCACCUCAGAAAAUUACCCUCACAAAUAUGUGUGAGUUUAACAUCUACUACUAUGCAGCAGAAACUACUUCUCCCGUAGGUAAGUCCAACUUUUUUUCCAUUCACCCUAUCAUUAUUUUCUCUUUAAUAUCAGGGAUGACAACAAAUUCAACUCAUCAGUGUCCUUUAUUCCUCUCCUUCAUUCACCCAGCAGGAAUUAUAAUACCUACCUUACAGAGUUAUAGUGAGAGAAAGUGGUGUAUCUUGGCACUUACCAAGUGCUAACUAAGUUAAUUUCAUUGUUAAGAUCUGGGUCCAAUUUCUGCUCUGUCAUUAGAAGCUCUGUGACUCAGUUUCCGAUGCCAUAGAACCUACUUUAUAGUAUUACUGUGAGGAUUAAGUAAAUUAAAAUAUGUAAAGUGUUUAGGAUAGUGUCAAACAAAUAAUAAAUGCUACAAAAUUAUUACCAUCAUUAUUAUUGCCAGGCUCAGAGUUCCUAACUGACCCCGGAGGUUCUGGAAAUAGCAAUGUCUUAAUGGGUAAGAGGUCAUAUUUUCUGUGGGAGCAGACAUAAGUAGGAAAAUCAGAAAAGGGGCUCAGAAUUCAGGAUUUGAAAAAUUAGAGAAAGCCAAGGGACCAAAGGACCAGAUCAUAAAAGUACAAUGUUGAUUCUAGGCUUUACUUCCCUCUUUUAGAAUCACUGCCUCAUUUGGGUAUUUAAUAUUUAUAGGAGCAUAUUGACUAUAAAAAGGAGAACUGGUGCAAUUUGUAGGAAUGAAAAGCUAGUCCUCCCAGGGAAGUCUUACACACUCCUUCAUAUAACACAGUCAUAUAUUGGACUGUGACAGCACAAGGCAUGGUUCAAGUUUGUCAUGGUGUGCUUGGUGCUUCUGUUCUCUGACUAUACUGCAGAGCCAGCCAGUCAUGGGUUCUCAUCCUGGCUCUGUCAUUUACUAGCUUUGUGACUUACAUAGGGUGUCUGAUCCUUCACUUAUGAAAUACCUAUUUCUCAGAGUUUCUGUGAGGUUAGGGAUAUUAUAUGUAUGGUGUCUGCCACGCUCUUAGCAAGUGGUUAUUAAAUACUAGCUACACCGUCUUCUUAUCUGAAUUCUUCCUUACUUCUCACACCAUUAGAAUGUGUUUAUUCUCAGUGCCUCUCUCUUUACAUAGUGGAAUAAUUUUAUUCUCUUCCGGAAUAAAUGAUCAUGAUGCCUUAGAAGCUCCUUAGACUCUUGCACACAUUGACUUCUAUCAUGUCUUCUUAUACCUGGUCACUUCUAGUACCAUCUCUCUAUUUCUCCUCUCAGAGAAGAGAAGGAUACUAUCAACCAAAGUGGCCAUAUAAAUGAAAUAAAUCCUAAGCCUCCUUUCAGCCUUUAUAUUCAACAAUUCUGAUAUGGCAUAUUUGGACACAGAGCCACACGUACAAAUAGAAUGCCGUGUGAACAUGAAGGGAGAGAUUAGUUGAUGCAUCUACAAGCCAAGGAAUGCUGAAGAUUGCCAGCAAAUCACCAGAAGCUGGAAGAGAACCAUGGGACAGAUUGUUCCUCACAGACCUCACAAGGACUCAAACCUAUUGUGUUUCCCCAAAAAUAAGACAGGGUCUUAUAUUUAUUUUUCCUCAAGAAGACACCCUAGGGAUUA